rnacentral:rRNA from 1 species
AGUGAACGCUGGCGGUAGGCCUAACACAUGCAAGUCGAACGGCAGCACAGUAAGAGCUUGCUCUUACGGGUGGCGAGUGGCGGACGGGUGAGGAAUACAUCGGAAUCUACUUUUUCGUGGGGGAUAACGUAGGGAAACUUACGCUAAUACCGCAUACGACCUACGGGUGAAAGCAGGGGAUCUUCGGACCUUGCGCGAUUGAAUGAGCCGAUGUCGGAUUAGCUCGUUGGCGGGGGAAAGGCCCACCAAGGCGACGAUCCGUAGCUGGUCUGAGAGGAUGAUCAGCCACACUGGAACUGAGACACGGUCCAGACUCCUACGGGAGGCAGCAGUGGGGAAUAUUGGACAAUGGGCGCAAGCCUGAUCCAGCCAUACCGCGUGGGUGAAGAAGGCCUUCGGGUUGUAAAGCCCUUUUGUUGGGAAAGAAAAGCAGCAGGUUAAUACCCCGCUGUUCUGACGGUACCCAAAGAAUAAGCACCGGCUAACUUCGUG